UGGGGGCCGCGGGUCCCUGCAAAAGGAGACAGGCUUUUCCAGGUCGGGCCCUCGAGGAGGGUCCCCGCCGCCGCUGGAAAGGGGGCUGGGGCGAGGGUCCCUGGGUUAUUGGCCUUGGAGGAGCCAGCCUGGGGCUCCCCCACCAGCCUAAUGGGGGGGGGGGGGGCGCAGCAGGGAGGAACGGUACUGAGUAGGAUCCGAAGGGAAUGGAGCUCGAAGGUGAUGGCAAGUCUACCUAGAGCAGCACUGGCUGCCCGUCCAGCCUCCUUCACCCAGAACAGGGAGGGGGCUUCCAGGGGAUGGGGAAGGGGAAGGAGCCAAACGCCCUCCAAAUGCCCGGGUGAGGGGCAGGAACCCAGCCCGGAGGGAGGAGGGGCCAGGCCAGCCUGACGGAGGCAGCCCAGGGCCUCCAGCCUGGACAGCAAGAACUCGCCCCCUUCGGCCCCGGCCUGCGCCCGCCGCCCGCAGAGGCCGCUCCAGUUCAGACUGAGCCGGAGAGGGCAGCCCGCAGGUGCUAGGGGCUGGGGGACCGGACUGAGGCCCUGCCCCGCCGACGGGCGGGUGCAGAGGAGGAAGAGCACUCAGCCUGGGGAAGUACAGCAGCCUGGGGUACAGCAGGGGCCUCAGAGGCUGCCACACCCCUUCCUUUCCCUAGAACCUGACCCUGAGGGGAAGGCUGUGGCUGCUGCUUCCCCGUCUGCUUGCUGGGAACCCCUGGGACCAAGUUUGAAUCCUACCCUCUACCCUGCCGUGACCUCGGGGCUGUAGGGGCUAAGGCCCCAGGGGCCCUGUGCCUUGCUCCCAGUCAUGGGGCAGGGCAGGGCCUCGGUGCCAGGCCCCGGAGACAGGGUGCCCUGAGCAUGGACAGGGUCCUGGACCAG